rnacentral:lncRNA from 1 species
AUUUUAAAUUUUAUGAGUAAAAUAAUCAUUUGAUAAAUAUUCCGUUAAAUAUCCUAACGGUGUUUAAUGAGAGUGGAGCAGUGAUUCACCUAGUAAACUUCUGGAUUGUUGUUAAAAAAAGAAAAAGAAGAGUUAUGUCGGUGGAUAACUUCCUUUUUUGAUUUUUGAGUUAGAUGAACCGUUGGUCGUUGCAAUUGUCCAUGACGAGUUCGUUAACCGUUGUUUUCGGUAUUCAAGAUAUUAAAAAUUAAGAAAAAGGCGUUUUGCAGAAAGCGAGGCAUAAUUUUGUCAUUUAGCUCGUGUGAAUUCAUCUAUUAUCAUUUUCCUGACUUUUAAAUUGUCGGUAUACGGCAGAUCAGCCUUGGUGCACAAGUUCUGCAUUAUUUAUUUUCUGGCACCAGCAACUUGUUAAACAGGUACGCUGUACCUUAGCAGGGUCCAACUGUAAUGCAGCGGCUGCAUCUCGUACAGCCGCUUUUUAUCAUUUUUUUAUUUGCGCAUAUAACCGGCCACCAAAAGUAGCGGUUAUACAGGUUUUCCAUAAUAAAAAAUUUGCCACGAUGCACUUGCGUAGUAAUAAAAAUUUUCUUUAAACCAACUCAAUUCUAACAUAAAAAAAUAUCCCUAUUUUAUAAAUUAUUUGUCAUGCCUAUUUUAAAACCCAUCUAUACGUGUUUUUCUACCAAUACUCUCAUCUUAUACUAUGUAUUAUGUACCGUGCAAUUGUAGCAAGGUAGGUGGACCCUUAUUAUUGAGAAUUUGUGAUAAAAUUUAAAACUUAUGGUAUUUUAUACAUAAUAUUUUCAUAAUCAUUAUGUAUCAAUUGAAUGUGGAGAGGAAACUAACGGUCGUACCACUGACCUUUGUCUUAUUUUUAAUUAAUUACACUGCACCAUCUUAUAUUUUAUGAAAAAUAAAAUACACACUAGAAUUUAUAAAUUUU